GGUGAGAUGGCCGAGCGGUCUAAGGCGCCAGACUAAGGAGGACCAACACAUUAGAUGUGUAGUAGAAUUAUCUGGUCACAUUGUGGCGUGGGUUCGAAUCCCACUCUCAUCA